AUUGGAUAUAAGACGGAUGGAUGGGAUGGAAGUUGGAUCAAGUUGGUUGGGAGAAGCAUUUUUGGUUUUGCUGCUGCAGCUGCCGUUGUGAUUGCCAUCAACUGUGAUUCCUUAGGCCUCGCAGAUUCUCUCACCAUCGCUUUCCCUGCUUCUCGUGGAGAGCUUGAUUGACCUCGUGAACAGGAUCAAGAGGGCGUAUACAGUCCUUGCCGGCUAUGGUGGUGACAACGCUCUGCUAACUCAGUGUGAAGCCCUUCUGUUCGUCACCGUCGUCGGUGGACAGAAUUCUCGAAAACCAUCGGUUUUGGAGAGCAUCGUCGGGCGGGAUUUUCUUCCUAGGGGAUCUGCUGCACAAGACGGACAAAGGACAAACGGAGCAUGUUGAGUUUCUUCACUUGCCAAAGAGGAGAUUUUCAAGUUUCGGUAAAUGUUAAUUUUCCAUUGCUUCAUAGAUUCGAUGUUUGAUUUAUGGGUCUCUUUUGCCUUGGCAUCUCCCCCACAUUGUCGCUGCUCUUGAUUUUAUUUUCAUCUUGAAUUCUCUCAAUUUUGACUCAAUGAGUACACGCAUGCAGCAACAAACAUCUUCAAGUAGGCAGAGGAACUGCAAAGGUGAAAUAAUUACUCUCUACUGCCAUUGAUCUGGAUCAUUUUUUAUGAAAUAAGGAAACUUCGAAGAACAUAUUGGAAAUUGGAUAUCCAAGAGAUGACGCUGGAUAUGAAAAUUCACCGCAAUCAGAGUAUAUUGACCUCCCCCAGUACAAGCGAGCAACACGUGUGUUCGCAGCAACCAUUACUCACCAACAGCUUUGAUUCUGUUCACUCAUCAUUACCUCCUAGCUUGGCCACACUACUGACAAGCUGUUCAACAGAAAAUUUUGAAGGGAUAUGGACCGCAAAGAUGAUCAUCCCAACAGUGCCAUCUAUGUUCAACAAGCUAAUGCAUGAAGUGGCUUGAUGAGAGGUUUACGAAUUCGGUGUUCUCCAUUUCAUUCGAUAGUGUGGCCAAUCUAGGAGUGGACCACAUGAAGGAUUUUUAUUUAUUUUUAUUUAUUCAAGACCAUUUUCAACGUAUUGUUGUAAAUAUUAUAUAUUUUAUUGUAAAGUAAUACAAUUUUUGUUUAAUAUUCAUUUUUAAUUGUACCCUAA